rnacentral:rRNA from 1 species
AUUGAACGCUGGCGGCAUGCUUUACACAUGCAAGUCGAACGGCAGCACGGGGGCAGCCCUGGUGGCGAGUGGCGCACGGGUGAGUAAUACAUCGGAACGUGCCCGGUCGUGGGGGAUAACGUAGCGAAAGUUACGCUAAUACCGCAUACGAUCUGCGGAUGAAAGCGGGGGACCUUCGGGCCUCGCGCGAUCGUAGCGGCCGACGUCCGAUUAGUUAGUUGGUGGGGGAAUGGCCUACCAAGCAGACGAUCGGUAGCUGGUCUGAGAGGACGGCCAGCCGCACUGGGACUGGGACGCGGCCCAGAGUACUGCGGGAGGCAGCAGUGGGGAAUGGUGGACAAUAGGCGCAAGUCUGAUACAGCCAUUCCGCGUGCAGGGCGAAGGCGUUCGGGUUGUAAACUGCUUUUGUGGGGAGCGAAAAGGCUCUGGCUAAUACCUGGGGCUCAUGACGGUACCGUAAGAAUAAGCACCGGCUAACUACGUG